rnacentral:RNase_MRP_RNA from 2 species
CGAGUCUUCUAUGCUUGUCUUUCGGGGUUACUUACGAGUUCCUAGUAACUCUUGCUGUUAUACCCUGGGAAAAGUCCCCGGGUCUAGGAUAGAAAGUAUCAAGGCGUAAAAAGUAUUAUAUUAAAUGCCCCGAGGGCUCUCUCGCGUUCGCGCGUUAGUUUUCUUCUGUGCAUUUAAAAUAAUAUUCGCCUAUAUUCCAUGGAAAUUCUCUUAGCAUGAAAAUCAAUGAAGAGUCAAGUUUUGUGACGAAUUGAAAUGGCUAAGUGUCCAUGGAAACGUGCCAGAUAAAAAUUCUUAGCAAUAGACAACCGAAAUGCGUGCCGGUUUUCUCUCAGAAAUCGGAAUGUGUUUACAUAAUGGGGCUUACAUUGGGAGAUUC